rnacentral:rRNA from 1 species
CAGUCGCCACGGUAAUACGGAGGGUGCAAGCGUUAAUCGGAAUUACUGGGCGUAAAGCGCACGCAGGCGGUCUGUCAAGUCAGAUGUGAAAUCCCCGGGCUUAACCUGGGAACUGCAUUUGAAACUGGCAGGCUAGAGUCUUGUAGAGGGGGGUAGAAUUCCAGGUGUAGCGGUGAAAUGCGUAGAGAUCUGGAGGAAUACCGGUGGCGAAGGCGGCCCCCUGGACAAAGACUGACGCUCAGGUGCGAAAGCGUGGGGAGCAAACAGGAUUAGAUACCCCAGUAGUCCCUGUCCCUUAUAA